rnacentral:tRNA from 1 species
AGAGAAUAGUUUAAUAAAAAUAUUAAUUUUGGGGAUUAAAGAUAAAGUUAAUUUUUCUCUGAU